rnacentral:rRNA from 1 species
UACGUAGGGGGCAAGCGUUGUCCGGAAUCAUUGGGCGUAAAGAGCUCGUAGGCGGUUUGUCACGUCUGCUGUGAAAUCUCAGAGCUUAACUCUGAAACUGCGCUUGAUACUGCUCUGCUAGAGGAUCGGAGGGGGUAUCGGAAUUUAUGGUGUAGCAGUGAAAUGCGUAGAUAUCAUAAGGAACACCGGUGGCGAAGGCGGAUACCUGGAAGAUUCCUGACUCUGAAACACGAAAGCGUGGGGAGCAAACAGG